UACAGAGGUCCCAAGCGUUGUUCGGAAUCACUGGGCGUAAAGGGCGCGUAGGCGGCUUUAUAAGUCGGGGGUGAAAGCCUGUGGCUCAACCACAGAAUUGCCUUCGAUACUGUAGAGCUUGAGACCGGAAGAGGUAAGUGGAACUGCGAGUGUAGAGGUGAAAUUCGUAGAUAUUCGCAAGAACACCAGUGGCGAAGGCGGCUUACUGGUCCGGUUCUGACGCUGAGGCGCGAAAGCGUGGGGAGCAAACAGG
rnacentral:rRNA from 1 species